AUGUCUGAGGACUGGGAGGAUCUUUUCCCAAUGGUGUCUGUAAGACAACUCGUUCGGGAGAUAUUGGACCACAAUCCCCUCCUACUCUCAUCUAGUGAUGAGGCGCAUGAGGCUCCUCAACCUCGUGAAUUUGGGUUUAACCUUGCUUGGAUUAAAUAUGAGAUGUUUCUUCCCACGAUUAGUAGGAUCUGGGCUAGCAAAGUUCAUGCUUCUAAUCCCAUUGACAUUUUAAAUAUCAAACUAAAAAGAUUCAAGACUUACUUCAAAGGGUGGGGGUAUAAUAAAUUUGUCCACGACAAAAGAAGGAAAGGAGAGCUUAGGGUUGAGCUCGCUAUGCUAGAGGAACUAGAAGAAAAUGGGCCCUUGUCUCCUGAAAAGUAUAGUAUUAAGAUAGAUGUGAGUACGGAGCUACACAAGAUGCUGAUUAAUGAAGAAAUAUUUGGUUGCAACAGUCCCAUGCACGCUGGCUGUUGA
rnacentral:rRNA from 1 species